rnacentral:tRNA from 1 species
GCCUGGGUGGCUCAGUUGGUUGAGCAUUUGACUUUGGCUCAGGUCAUGAUCUCGCAGUUCAUGGGUUCAAGCCCCACAUCAGGCU